CACCAGCGCCUCCCUCUCCUCCUUCCCCGCCGCCGCCCACCAGCCAUCCUCCCCGCCCGCUGCCGCCGCUUCACUCUCCUCCCUCCUUACCCUGCGCCGCCACUCUCCUCCGUCCUUCCCCUCGCGCCACGACCGCUCCAUCUCCCUGAGCUCCCCCUUCCCCACCCCAUCACCUUUGCCUGUGGAUCCCGGCAAGGAGGAGCAGCCAAGUUCUGCCCUAGCCGCCACAACUUUCCUGCACGCGCGCGCGAUGCGUCUCAUCGCCGCCGCCGCCGUCCUCCGCCCCCGUGCUCUGCCUCCUCCCCUUCCGUCGCCCACCCACCACGCCGCCUUCUCCUCCACCGUUCCUCUCCAUCCGCCGAGCUCGUCUUCGCCAUGCUCGGGAGGAGAGCGACAGGCAGGCCUGGUGCAUCCCCAACGACGGGAGAAAGCACAGGAAUUGCUGCCUCUGGCGAGGCGCUCCUGCGCGACCAGGUCAUCGACGAGAAGAUUCACAGCCUCUCUGCCCCCAGCGCCGCCGUGAAUGGCAGCGGCGACCUCUUCUCGACCGGCACAGACCGAAGGGUCCUCUCCGGCCUCUUGCACACCGUCAUUGACGCUGCAGGGCUCAUCCUCAAGAAGCUCCUUUACCAGAACAGUUUUGCCUAGGGUGGUGGAAGAGGAUCCUCUAGCUGUUGUUUUCCUGGUGGAGGCGGGGGGUUCACUUAGAACGCUUGUGGGCAGCACGCCGCCGCCCAGUCUGUGGUUUGAUUGGAUGCUGUUGUAGGCGAGUUUGGGUUUGCUCCAAAGCAACCAACUGUGUGUAUUUACAUGACACCACCAGAAGGCGAAGGGGGGUAGCGCUUCCUACCUAUAGCCUCGGUGCGUCCAGCCAGGUCUGGCUCUUCGAGGCGCUGAACAAGUUGUGCUGUAGGAACUGCCCGUCGUACUCAUCUUCGAGAAUAACCACUUGCCAACUUGGGCCUGCUGAACGACGACAGUGCCGCAGUAGGGGAGGGAGACGAGGAAGCCCCUGUGCUGGCUGGAGCAAAGGUUUCCCAACAAGCUGGUUGCUCAUCACCAUAUGAAACCAACAGGCGUCGAUGUAGUGAGAGCUGUGCAAGUCGCUGAACAUGGUGGUGCUAUUAUGAGCUGGAGACGUCGGAUGUGUCCACGGUGUUGAAUGUGCCUCAGGAUCUGAACGAACUGCAGGCUAGGCAUACCACUCUCUUCUCCAGCGCCGUUCUUUGUGUGUGUGCCUCUGAUUCUUAGAUCUCGGAAGAACCAAAAGAUCCUCUGCACUGCACACUUUGGCCAAUGCCUAAAGAUGGCAAAAACAGGAAACCUUCAGAAAUUAUUUUGCUGCAGCAGCUAACACUUCCGAUGGAAAAUUAUACUAAUAGACUGGAACAAGAGUGCAUGUUCGUCUUGGAUAGAAUUAAUCUCACUUCCUUGCAUCCUCCGAGUUCAAAAACAAAACAUGGAUGUCUCGAUAGUGGUGGUAGAAACAAUCUUAAUUUAUGUCCUAUCUCAAGAGUCAUGCAUACUCGAGAAGUUUUUCUUAGCAAUAACCAAGGAACAUUAUCAUAUAUUAUUGAUCUUUUAGUUCCAAUACUGUUUUGCAUAGUAGUAUGGCUUACACUGCAUUUCUAUAUAUUGUUUGUAUCCACAUAUAUAUUACUGAUCUUUUGGUUCCAAUACUGUUCGGUUGUGUAUUAGUAUGGUGUAGAUUGCAAUUUAGAUUCCUACACUCAUUGCUUUGCUUAGUUAAAUUUGUAGGACAACACAAGUAUAUAAAUGUGCUUAUAUUUUGUGUACUUUAUUUAGACAAAUUUUAUAGAGGAAGAAAUAAUCUUUUUCUGAUAGAUUGUUUUAUGUGCAGAACAAUCACCACAUGUUGUAGCAAGGCCCACAUAAAGAUGAUGUAGUCAUGCAUAGAUGGAGUUCAAUCUUGUCUCCCUGCUUUGUCAGGGAAAUACCAUUUGGCGUAUCCGUGUGUAUGUCUCACGACUAUGGCAGCACCAUGGUGGGACUGAUAAUGAACCCAUUACGGAUACAUACCGCUAGGGGUAACCACAUAUACACUGAGGUGCUAGAAAUAAUAUCAACAGCUUCCUGGAAUGUAUUGAAGAAGGUGAUGUCAUCAUGACUCCAACAACUCCACUUACGCAUCCAGCAAUCUUGCAGGGAAUAGUUCUAAACUAUCGGGCUUCAGUUGGCAUGUUACCUGAGGUCAUACUUCCCAUUACAGGCCGACAAGACGGCAAAUUCGGUUAGUGAGAAGAUCGUCCAAAAGAACAUCGUCGAGAAAGAUGAGCUGAUGCAAAGAGGUUUGAACCAUUUGUUUAUGUUAUUGCCCCAGUGAGUGCGGGCAAGAAAGGCAGGAAGAAGUAAUCCCUUAUGUUAGCUUCUCGUGGCCAGGGGCGCAAUGUACGUGGAGGUGUUCAAUAGAGGGGAAAUUCUGCCGCCCUACAGCAUCAGGAAGAGGAACAGCAGGACCAGGCUGCGCUUCACCUAUAACGAUGACAUCUGCUUGAACUCAGUUAACCUGAACUCCAUAAUUGAGGCUAUGUUUAUUCUGUGCCUUUGAAGAUGUAUAGCGGUGGUGCAGACGAACUGAUCUUCCUGUUCGUACUCCUACAUUGCAUAUCUGAACUUGGCCAAGAAUGGACCCCAAUGCUUCUCUUGCCUCAGAGGCAUGUUCAUAUGAAGCAAAUAAAAGGCAUGCAGUUCUUUACGAUUUGAGCCGCCACCCCUCCGGCCUGCCCGCCGGCGGCACACUGCUCUUCCAGCCGCCCCUGAGCCCACGCGGCUUGCCGGAUCAUGCGCUACCCCAGAGUGCCACCCACGCCAACCUGAGAUCCGCCUCUGCAGGACAUGAUGGCCAGAUCGCCGGGAGCCCCUACCCCGACCCCAAGGUUGCUGGCAGCGUCAACCCCGACGAUGAGGUCACCGUCACCCCCAACCUUGACGCCCAGGUCAGCAGAAGGUGUGGAUGGAAGAGUGACAAUAACUACAGGUUGGUCAAAGGUUGAAAGAAAUUCUCCUUUAAAUUAGGUUGGUCAAAGACAUGCCAAUGCUACUCAACUUUUCUUUGAGUGACGAGGAAUUUCAACCGUCCUUGGCGAAGGACUGCUAUCUGAUUGUCACUAGCCUCAUGUGUAAAUGCUUCGCUUUCAAUAUUUUGUACUAUCUUGCUGCCCUAUGUGCUACUUAAGCCUGAUCUAUUAAACAUUACUUGGCCUAUUCCUUUGUGCCGAGCUUGAUGUGCCUCAAUUGUACUCUGUGAUAUGUACUUUGAUUGGAAAAUUCACAAGGUUAAAGAUUUGC